rnacentral:rRNA from 1 species
UACGUAGGGGGCGAGCGUUAUCCGGAAUUACUGGGCGUAAAGCGUGCGCAGGCGGUUCGCUAAGACAGAUGUGAAAUCCCCGGGCUUAACCUGGGAACUGCAUUUGUGACUGGCGGGCUAGAGUAUGGCAGAGGGGGGUAGAAUUCCACGUGUAGCAGUGAAAUGCGUAGAGAUGUGGAGGAAUACCGAUGGCGAAGGCAGCCCCCUGGGCCAAUACUGACGCUCAUGCACGAAGGCGUGGGGAGCAAACAGG